AUACGUAGGUGGCGAGCGUUGUCCGGAAUUACUGGGUGUAAAGGGCGUGUAGGCGGGACUGCAAGUCAGAUGUGAAAUACCGGGGCUCAACCCCGGGGCUGCAUUUGAAACUGUAGUUCUUGAGUGCAGGAGAGGAAAGCGGUAUUCCUAGUGUAGCGGUGAAAUGCGUAGAUAUUAGGAGGAACACCAGUGGCGAAGGCGGCUUUCUGGACUGUAACUGACGCUGAGGCGCGAAAGCGUGGGGAGCGAACAGGAUUAGAUACCCUGGUAGUCCACGCCGUAAACGAUGGAUACUAGGUGUUGGGGGUAUCGACCCCCUCAGUGCCGGAGUUAACACAAUAAGUAUCCCACCUGGGGAGUACGGCCGCAAGGUUGAA
rnacentral:rRNA from 1 species